rnacentral:rRNA from 1 species
CCUACGGGAGACAGCAGUGGGGGAUAUUGGACAAUGGGGGGAACCCUGAUCCAGCGACGCCGCGUGAGUGAAGAAGUAUUUCGGUAUGUAAAGCUCUGUCAGCAGGGAAGAAAGCAAUGACGGUACCUGACCAAGAAGCCCCGGCUAACUACGUGCCAGCAGCCGCGGUAAUACGGAGGAUGCGAGCGUUAUCCGGAUUUAUUGGGGUUAAAGGGUGCGCAGGCGGAAGAUCAAGUCAGCGGUAAAAUUGAGAGGCUCAACCUCUGCGAGCCGUUGAAACUGGUUUUCUUGAGUGAGUGAGAAUUAUGCGGAAUGCGUGGUGUAGCGGUAGAAUGCAUAGAUAGCAGGCAGAACUCCGAUUGGGAAGGCAGCAUACCGGCGCUCAACUGACGCUCAUGCACGAAAGUGUGGGUAUCGAACAGGAUUAGAUACCCUAGUAGUC